UAGACAUCUAUGUCAUUUUUAUGAACAAUGAACCUGCCAUCUCCACCUUCCUUUCUUCAUAAAACCAUGACUUUGUGACUUUUUUUGUUUUAUGUCUCCGAUCAUGUUCCCCACCAUGGUUAUGGGUAGAGAAGACGAGUCUUUACUGCAGAGUAAUAAACAAAGACAAAACAACAAAGAUUCAGUGGCACAGAAGUUACAGGAGAUCUAAAUGACACAGAGCAUGAGCCCUAAAAUGAAUCCACACAAGACCCACGUCAGGGCUUGACCCAGGCUUCCUGAGGUAAAACACUGCUGCCCUGGCUGUUUUCUCAGUACACACCCGGAAUAGGAUCUUAUUCUCAUUGCAUAUGAAAUAUGGCUUGUUC